UCACUGCGUAUGUCCCUAGAGAGGGCGAAGGAGAGAGAUCUUGAGGCGACUUUAGAUAUCCCUUCAUUGAAGUCUUGAAGAUUUUAUCUCAGCCUCUGAAGAACGAUGAAAAGCAAAACCCACACUGAAAUCAAGCUCUCCACCCAUAAACCCAAGCACAAAAAGAAGAAGAAGAAGAAUAAAUCAGAGCCUCGAGAAAGCCAGAAUGGCCAUUACACUCUUGAACAAGACGACCUAGGAGACCCAGCCCAUGGUUUCAGCUUGCAAGCUAAUCAUUCACUUAGCCAUGGAGUCCAACCAUUAGGCAACCUUCUCUUAAAUGCUUCUUCCGCCAACUCAAGACACACAGGCUUAGGAGCUCUCUAUGUUCUCACUGAUGAAUUGAUUGUUGAUAUCUUGGGCCUUUUGGGUGCCAAAGAUUUGAGCUUUCUGUCUGUAGUGAGCAAAGCUUUCUAUGUAUUCUCCAACCAUGAACCCCUUUGGAGAGAACUGGUCCUUGAACACCUCAAAGGUGAGUUUUCUUUUGUUGGGUCUUGGAAAAACACUUAUAUUUUAUCAUUGUGUCCUUGUUUUCCAAUACCCAUUUCAUCUUUUGCUCCAAAAAUAAGAGAUUUCUACUCUGAUUAUCUCUUCCAAAGCUGGCUUUGUGCAAACCUUGCAAUGAAACCAGAAUGGCUAGCUAUUGAUAAUGUAGAUAGAAAAAGUAAAAUCUCAGUUGAAGAGUUUAUUACUCUCUAUGAAGAGCCUAAUAAACCAGUAAUUUUGGCCAAUGCAUUGGAGAAUUGGCCAGCCAUGGAGAAGUGGAUCAGAGAUUAUCUCUUAGAGGUUUCAGGUGAUGUCGCUUUUUCAGCAGGGCCUGUAGAAAUGAAACUAAGUGAUUACUUUAGGUAUGCUGAUAAUGUCAAGGAAGAAAGACCACUAUAUUUAUUUGAUCCUAAAUUUGGAGAGAAAAUUCCCAAGCUUUCAGCCGAUUAUAAGGUCCCUGAUUAUUUUAGCGAAGAUUUGUUCUCACUUCUUGGGCCCGAAAGGCCAGAUUACAGGUGGCUUAUAAUUGGCUCUACUGGUUCUGGUUCUUCAUUUCAUAUAGACCCAAAUUCUACUUCAGCUUGGAAUGCAGUAAUUAGAGGAUCUAAGAAGUGGGUUUUAUUUCCUCCUGAUGUGGUUCCGCCUGGUGUACAUCCUAGCCCUGAUGGAGCUGAAGUGGCUUGCCCUGUUUCUAUAAUGGAGUGGUUCAUGAAUUUUUAUGGGGCAACAAAGAAAUGGAAGAGGAGGCCUGUGGAAUGUGUUUGUAAGGCUGGAGAAGUGAUCUUUGUGCCUAAUGGGUGGUGGCAUCUUGUGAUCAAUCUAGAGGAGUCCAUUGCCAUUACUCAGAAUUAUGUGAGCAGGAUUUGUGUGUCUCGUUAUCAACUAUUGGAUCCGUAGCAUGGACAGUGAGAUUAUCCGUGGCUCUCUUGAUCAUGGCAUGAUGUAUGCGGCUUAUGUCCACCAUCUGUGUUGGGAUCCUACCUUGAAGAUGUGAACAGAUGCAUCCUAUGCACUGAAGAUGAGGAGACCAAUGCCCACCUUUUCAUCCGUUGCAAGUUCGCCUCAGCUAUUUGGGCUAACAUCCUUCAGCUAUUCCAACGGCAGUGGGUCACGCUACCUGAUGUGCCUCAUCUCAUCAGCUCUACUUUCUCAACCACAUGGCCUAAGGCUGGCACAAUGCUGUGGCAAGCUUCUGUGGCUGCCACUCUUUGAACUAUCUGGACCUGAGAGAAAUGCAAGAAUUUUUCGAAGCCAGUCAUCUUCUUUGAAUGCACUAGUAGAAAAGAUCAAAGAAGCUGUCAUCUUCUAGGCCACCCACCACAAACACUUCAGAAAUCUUUGCCACUCUGAUUUCCUACACAGCUGGACUCCCAUUCUUUCCUUCAAACCUCAAAGGCCCCCACGCUCUUCCUUUUGGAGACCACCUGAAGUAGGCCACAUCAAACUCAACUUUGGCAGGUGCUUUCUCGGAAAUCCAGGCCUUGUAGGCAUAGGUGGCUUGUUCCGCGACCACAACAGCAAUACCUUUUGCUCCUUUUCUAUUCCCAUUGGUGUCUCUGAUUCAACUAUUGCAGAGGCCUUUGCCCUCCGGGAAGGCCUCAGGAUGUUAGAUACUAGCUGGAGGCAGUAUGUUACCAUUGAAGGCGUCUCUUACAGUGUUAUAACCUGGGCCUCAGGCACUGCCCUUUGGCUUUGGAGGCAGGACAGUAUUUUCGAAGAAAUCUGUCAUCUCUCAAGGAAUCUACACAUCUAGUGGAAUCACGUUUUGAGAGAAGCAAAUGGAGAAAUUUGUUGAACGUUUUGGACUUCCUAAAGAAGCCCAAUGCGAAAGAACUGGUCUCAGGGACUAGAGAUAGAGUCAAUUUGCAUGAGAAGUUUAGGAGUGCAUAUGAAGCUGCUUUUCCAGGUUCCAUUCAACGACUUAUUCAAGAGAAGCAAUCCAAAGAGAAAAAAUCGAUAUCAUU